UCAGGAGGAAGAAAGGAAAAGUUUUUAUUCGUGCUUGAUUCUCUUUGCACUGCUGCUGGAGUGGUGGUGGCAUGGAGUAAGAGAUCCCCAGGGAGACAUUCAGGAAUCGAUGAUCAAGGUCAUGUGGACCAGGAGCCCUUCCUUAUCAGGAGAUUCAUCUUGCAGAUUACACCUUGUGUUUCAGAAGAGAGACUGGAUUGCAAGAGUUCAAAAAUAUUCUCAAGUCCUCUUCUCUUUCUUCUCUUCCUGACAAACUUCUCCUUGAGCUUCAAAAUUCAGAGCAUAUGUUUACCAUUCCUCAGGAAACCUGUCUUGACUCUCCCAUGUAAAGAACCAGCAUGUGCGUUCCUCUUAAUCUCAAGUCAGCACCCAGAUCUCCGAUUGAAGAUCAGCAGUACGUGUUGUCAUGGCCGAACUUCUCCAUCCUCUUCAUUCUUCUUUCUACUGGAGACAGUUGCAGAGACUGGCUUGCUUGUGAUCCUGGACUCCCUUGACUUCCUGGUGCAGGAGCCCUUGUUCAAAAUCUGUACAUGAAAUACUGGUUAGAGUAUUUGUAGUUCUGGAACCUAUGUGGCCUUGCCCCCUCCCUACCAAAUCCCAGCCUUCUCCACAGAGAAGCAGCGCAUUGAAAUCUUCCUCACAGGGCUCUUAGGAUGUGACAAUAGACUUUUUUUUCCCACACAGUUUAAUUUAGUCUUCACUGAAUCAUGCUAAAAUACACAUCUGUACAUCACUAAAACAUUUUGCAAACUUCCUCCAAAAAAUGAUCCGUAUAUUUUUUUAUCAUUGAAUAUCAUUGAAUGAUAUCAAUGAAUAUCAAAGAUCUCUCCUUAUUUUCAAUGUCACACAUCUAGUUUUCAAGUUAAAGCAAUAAGUAUUUAUUUCUGUAAAAACAUUCACCAGAAUACAGAACAGAAAUAUAAAAUAUAAGAAUGAAUACUUUGAUAUCAAGUGUGGGUGACCUAACUAAAAUCCAUUCCUCUCUCUCGUGGAAGGAGAGGGAAGUAACAGGAACACUCAGUAGGAUGCCACUGGUAUGAUGUUACCUGGUGCAACACAAGACUGUCCAUCGACAAGGGAUAUAUUUGUAUUUAAUAAAAGCAUGAAUGCAUAAAUGAGCUUGAUGAAC
rnacentral:lncRNA from 1 species